AGUAAAUAGAUACCCCGGUAGUCCACGCCGUAAACGAUGGGUGCUAGCCGUUGGCCAGCUUGCUGGUCAGUGGCGCCGCUAAACGCAUUAAGCACCCCGCCUGGGGAGUACGGUCGCAAGAUUAAAAACUCAAAGGAAUUGACGGGGGCCCGCACAAGCGGUGGAGCAUGUGGUUUAAAUUCGAAGCAACGCGCAGAACCUUACCAGCCUUUGACAUCCUGUGCGACAUGGAGAGAUCCAUGGUUCCCUUCGGGGACGCAGAGACAGGUGCUGCAUGGCUGUCGUCAGCUCGUGUCGUGAGAUGUUGGGUUAAGUCCCGCAACGAGCGCAACCCUCGCCCCUAGUUGCCAGCAUUCAGUUGGGCACUCCAGGGGGACUGCCGGUGAUAAGCCGCGAGGAAGGUGGGGAUGACGUCAAGUCCUCAUGGCCCUUACGGGCUGGGCUACACACGUGCUACAAUGGCGGUGACAGUGGGCAGCGACCUUGCGAGAGGUAGCUAAUCCCAAAAACGCCGUCUCAGUUCGGAUU
rnacentral:rRNA from 1 species